rnacentral:tRNA from 1 species
GCAGUCGUGGCCGAGCGGUUAAGGCAAUAGACUAGAAAUCUAUUGGGGUCUACCGGCAAAGAUUCGAAUUCUGUCGACUGCC